UUUUACUGAAAAAUAAGUAGUCAAGCCCGACACAAAUGCCUGGAAACCUGAAGGUGUAACUGAGGCCUGACAAAAAACUAACAGGAAUGCAAUUUUUUCACACAACCUUCAAAGGAAACGCACAAACUAUGCACACAUCUAGCAGCAAUUCAUGCAUACAUUUUAGAAUUUGUGAAUUUGUACAUAACGUCAUGCCACCAACCAAUCGUGAGUGUCAAGAAGAGAUUACUAAAAUGAUAAAAAUAGGAACAUGCAUAUACAGUUAUAUGCAUGCAUUAGGAACCGCAAAGCACAUGCCUCCUAGUUAUUCGUUACAGUACCCAAUGUCCAGGCCUCCAGUGGAACAGUGCAGACGCGGAGAUCUGGACAAAGAACGACUGGAGUGAACUCAUCUUCCUGAUCCUAACUUGGACGACGGAGGUGCUACUUGAUUGGGAUCAAGUACACUUGCGCAUGCUCGAUGCGGCCUCCAUCAGCGCCGCCAAACUACACCCUGCGGCCGGCGCUCUCGUUCCCAGAGAUCCUAAUUUGGAAUCAGAACGUCCAACCAAGUUAACUCAAAAUAAAAUCCGUUAUAUAUGAAAAGAUAAGAGUAAGGAGAGCCCGCACCUCUGGUGCAGGUGAUGCUGCAGGAGGACGUCGGGGAUGUCAUGCGUGGUUCAAUAAGAAGUCAGCUCAGCAGCAAGGCGGAGGGCUUGGGCCAGCAUAGUCCGCGCCGACGGCCAGGGCUCUAGGUCGACGACAACACAAAAUGGAGAGAUGCAUAAAUAGACGGAAGAAGAGAAGAAUCAUAAGGACCCCGGUGGAGAUUUAUUGAUUUGGGAAGAUAAAAGGAACCAUGGGUGGAAGGUGGAGGAAGAGAUGAAAGACCAAGGGGUGGAAGAGAGUAAAACACUUCGGGGCCGGUGGCCGUGCGGGAG
rnacentral:lncRNA from 1 species